GUUGCAGUUAAAAAGCUCGUAGUUGGAUAUCUGCUGGAAGCAAUCAGUCCGCCCUAUUUUAGGGUGGGCACUUGAUGAAUUCUGGCAUCUAGUAUCCCUAAUAUAGUCACGAUUUUCAGUAAUCGUGACUUCUUAUUAGGGAUAAUAACACUGUUACUUUGAAAAAAUUAGAGUGUUUGAAGCAGGCUUUUUGUUGCCUUGAAUACUGCAGCAUGGAAUAACAAUAUAGGAUUUCGGUUCUAUUUUGUUGGUUUCUAGGACUGAAAUAAUGAUUAAUAGGGACAGUUGGGGGCAUUCGUAUUUAACUGUCAGAGGUGAAAUUCUUAGAUUUGUUAAAGACGAACUACUGCGAAAGCAUUUGCCAAGGAUGUUUUCAUUAAUCAAGAACGAAAGUUAGGGGCUCGAAGACGAUCAGAUACCGUCGUAGUCUUAACCA
rnacentral:rRNA from 1 species